rnacentral:rRNA from 1 species
CCCUUAGAUGUUCUGGGCCGCACGCGUGCUACACUGAGUGGAUCAGCGGGUCAGGUUGCGCGAAAGUGUUUCCUAAUCUUGAAAUCCGCUCGUGAUGGGGAUUGACGGUUGCAAUUUUCCGUCAUGAACGAGGAAUACCUUGUAAGCGCGGGUCAUCAUCCCGCGCUGAAUACGUCCCUGCCCUUUGUACACACCGCCCGUCGCUCCUACCGAUUGAGUGGUCCGGUGAGGCUUUGGGAUCUGAGCAAAAAGAGCGUUUCGCUCGUUUGGCUCGGAAAACUCAGUCGAACCUUAUCAUUUAGAGGAAGGAGAAGGCGUAACA